GAUGAACGCUGGCGGCGUGCCUAAUACAUGCAAGUCGAGCGAACGGACGAGAAGCUUGCUUCUCUGAUGUUAGCGGCGGACGGGUGAGUAACACGUGGAUAACCUACCUAUAAGACUGGGAUAACUUCGGGAAACCGGAGCUAAUACCGGAUAAUAUUUUGAACCGCAUGGUUCAAAAGUGAAAGACGGUCUUGCUGUCACUUAUAGAUGGAUCCGCGCUGCAUUAGCUAGUUGGUAAGGUAACGGCUUACCAAGGCAACGAUGCAUAGCCGACCUGAGAGGGUGACCGGCCACACUGGAACUGAGACACGGUCCAGACUCCUACGGGAGGCAGCAGUAGGGAAUCUUCCGCAAUGGGCGAAAGCCUGACGGAGCAACGCCGCGUGAGUGAUGAAGGUCUUCGGAUCGUAAAACUCUGUUAUUAGGGAAGAACAUAUGUGUAAGUAACUGUGCACAUCUUGACGGUACCUAAUCAGAAAGCCACGGCUAACUACGUGCCAGCAGCCGCGGUAAUACGUAGGUGGCAAGCGUUAUCCGGAAUUAUUGGGCGUAAAGCGCGCGUAGGCGGUUUUUUAAGUCUGAUGUGAAAGCCCACGGCUCAACCGUGGAGGGUCAUUGGAAACUGGAAAACUUGAGUGCAGAAGAGGAAAGUGGAAUUCCAUGUGUAGCGGUGAAAUGCGCAGAGAUAUGGAGGAACACCAGUGGCGAAGGCGACUUUCUGGUCUGUAACUGACGCUGAUGUGCGAAAGCGUGGGGAUCAAACAGGAUUAGAUACCCUGGUAGUCCACGCCGUAAACGAUGAGUGCUAAGUGUUAGGGGGUUUCCGCCCCUUAGUGCUGCAGCUAACGCAUUAAGCACUCCGCCUGGGGAGUACGACCGCAAGGUUGAAACUCAAAGGAAUUGACGGGGACCCGCACAAGCGGUGGAGCAUGUGGUUUAAUUCGAAGCAACGCGAAGAACCUUACCAAAUCUUGACAUCCUUUGACAACUCUAGAGAUAGAGCUUUCCCCUUCGGGGGACAAAGUGACAGGUGGUGCAUGGUUGUCGUCAGCUCGUGUCGUGAGAUGUUGGGUUAAGUCCCGCAACGAGCGCAACCCUUAAGCUUAGUUGCCAUCAUUAAGUUGGGCACUCUAAGUUGACUGCCGGUGACAAACCGGAGGAAGGUGGGGAUGACGUCAAAUCAUCAUGCCCCUUAUGAUUUGGGCUACACACGUGCUACAAUGGACAAUACAAAGGGCAGCGAAACCGCGAGGUCAAGCAAAUCCCAUAAAGUUGUUCUCAGUUCGGAUUGUAGUCUGCAACUCGACUACAUGAAGCUGGAAUCGCUAGUAAUCGUAGAUCAGCAUGCUACGGUGAAUACGUUCCCGGGUCU
rnacentral:rRNA from 1 species